CACAUGUCAAUAGCAGUAGUAUAUCUGCAAAGGGUUAAGGUCCAAGCCAAUCGCCAUGAUACCAGGACAAAAGCAAGAGCAUAUAUGGACCAUUAUUAAGAUAACUAUCUAAUCAAAAGCAACAAAGCAACAAUAGACAGUUGAAGUAUAAUUUUUAAUACAAGAUAGUCAAUGGCAGAGGAUGAUCAGAAGGAUAGAAGAAUGUAUUAUAUUACUUCUCAUCAGUUAGCAGUGCACGCCAGAUACUCGUGUUAGUAUCCGCAAUAGCAAGAUAGCUGCAGUAAUGGCCAUCUGCUGACCGUGGUUGCAAGUUAUAUGACAUAAUAGUCAGCAGAUAGUCACUAGAAAAAGAAUAGGAGGGGGUGGAGGGGGAAGGCUUUUCACUGCAAAAAGUAAAUUGUAGUCUGUGAAAUGAAAAUUCAGUUCACAUGGUAAAAUUUAUUCAAACCCCAUGAACAUUAAACCAUGAGUCCAUGAGUCAUUAUCCAAAACACCCAUUAAUCCGGAAAAAUAUUUAGCAUUGAAUUAUUUACUAAUUUUGCACCAAACUUAGAAAAUGAGGUAACGUAUUCUUACAAGUCCUUUAAACCUUCAUGAAAAUCUGUUUCUCAGAAAAUGGAAAGGGAAAAAGGAUUGUAACAGAAGCACAACUGGGAACCUGCAGCUUUUAAUUUAAUUAUAAUAGGUGCUCAAGCUCAGAUUGCAGUUAACCAAAUUCAGGUUGAAAAUAUGCUUUAAUUCUAGCAAAAAACUCAACUUGUAUCAAUGCAUAUACCAGGGAACAUUUCCAGAAGAAAAAUCUACAUGUGCGCACACACAAAAGCAAUUAGUAUUAGUAGAAAUAGAAAAGCAGUUCCUUGAUUUAAAAGGAUACUGAUAUCCAAGAAGGACUUCAGG
rnacentral:misc_RNA from 1 species